rnacentral:rRNA from 1 species
AGUGAACGCUGGCGAUAGGCCUAACACAUGCAAGUCGAACGGCAGCACAGUAAGAGCUUGCUCUUACGGGUGGCGAGUGGCGGACGGGUGAGGAAUACAUCGGAAUCUACUUUUUCGUGGGGGAUAACGUAGGGAAACUUACGCUAAUACCGCAUACGACCUACGGGUGAAAGCAGGGGAUCUUCGGACCUUGCGCGAUUGAAUGAGCCGAUGUCGGAUUAGCUAGUUGGCGGGGUAAAGGCCCACCAAGGCGACGAUCCGUAGCUGGUCUGAGAGGAUGAUCAGCCACACUGGAACUGAGACACGGUCCAGACUCCUACGGGAGGCAGCAGUGGGGAAUAUUGGACAAUGGGCGCAAGCCUGAUCCAGCCAUACCGCGUGGGUGAAGAAGGCCUUCGGGUUGUAAAGCCCUUUUGUUGGGAAAGAAAAGCAGCAAGUUAAUACCCCGCUGUUCUGACGGUACCCAAAGAAUAAGCACCGGCUAACUUCGUG